UGGUAGUUAUAAUUAUGAGGGGUCCACACGAUCCCAUCCCGAACUCGAACGUGAAAUCUCAUGAUGCUGAUGGUACUGUGUAAAAUACAUGGGAGAGUAGGUUGUUGCCAGG
rnacentral:rRNA from 1 species